UACGGAGGGGGCAAGCGUUGUCCGGAUUUACUGGGCGUAAAGGGCGUGCAGGCGGUUUGUUAAGUGCAGGGUGAAAGCUCCCGGCUCAACUGGGAGAGGUCCUUGCAUACUGGCGAACUCGAGGGAGGCAGAGGAAAGUGGAAUUCCCGGUGUAGUGGUGAUAUGCGUAGAUAUCGGGAGGAACACCUGUGGCGAAGGCGGCUUUCUGGGCCUUACCUGACGCUGAGACGCGAAAGCGUGGGGAGCGAACCGG
rnacentral:rRNA from 1 species